AGGGGAUGUUUAGAUAGGGAAAUGAAGAACUCAGAAAAGAGGCAGAUCCAACCCCAUUGUUUUUCAAUAACCUGAAGAAAAAGUUCUGCAAACAAGGCAGAAGGUGCAGCUCUGAGACAGCACGGUGCUGUGGAAAGACCAUGGUUUUGGGGCCCAAGAGACGGGGGUUCAGCUCCAGGUGUUCUGGGUAAUCAUCAGCAAGUGACUUAGCUUCUUUCAGCCCCAGUUGCUUCAUUUGCUUAUAAACAAGACAUACGAGUAAUGUGCAUAAAGAAUUUGGCACAAAGCAGGCCCUAAAUAAAUGUUAAGAACUGCCGAGCUAGAGACUAUAUUUCCUAGCUUCCCUUGUAGCUAGGUGUGUCCACGUGGUUAAAAGUUCUGAAUGUGAGGGGAAAUGAUUUGUGCAAUCACUGCCUCCCUUGCUGAAAAAAGUUAUUCACCUUAAACUUCCCCUGUUUCUUAUUCCUGUGGGAUAGAAACAGAUUUGGAGGUAACCCCACAUUGACCAUGCAGAUAAAGACAAUGAUGGUGCAGCAACAUCAGGAUGGAAGGGGUUGGGGCUGAUGAACGGUCCUGUGGUCAGAGCUGUCCCACCAGCUGAGAUUAGGUGGACUGUUAUGUCAGAGAGGCCUACACUAUCGUAUUAUUAGAAACAAGCUGCAAUUUGGGGUUAGUUUUUACCCUAAGUAAUACAGGAGGAUUUUAGACAUUUUUUGUUGGGAUAGUCACUGGUUUCCAGGUAGCUUCAGAAAACAGGCAUGGAGGACGUCCAGAACAAGAAAUCUGAGGCACAAACUACUGGGAGACGCAGGUGCUGAGCUCUGCCUCUUCCUGAAGAUCCUCUGUCUUGGCCUUCAAGCUUUCAUGAUUACCACACCCUCCCCAGCCUUCUCAGCCCUUCCACCAUGUGAGUAUAUGAGAGAAGUUUGCAACCUAGAAGGAGCCCUCACUCGACCACGCUGGCACUCUGAUCUUGGACUUCCAGCCUUCAGAACUGUUUCCGAGCUUAUUUGGAUCUCACUAUUUGACACCGAAAAAUCUUACAAGGCAGGAAGUUAUUACUUUGAGGACGUGAGUUGGGAAUCCUCAUUCACACACAUCUAUUCAAGAAUCAUCAGUGGAGGCAGCCAUUCAUCAGGCCAUCCCACCUGGAAUAUGGGGUUUCAACAGGGAAAUAGUGGCUACUCCUCUCAAAAAAUGGAAAGCAAAUGCAUAGAAAAUGAGAAUGCCUCUCAUAUCCUGCCUGCUCCUCAGAAGUCAGAUGCUGAACAUUUUGUGAUGUUAACUAAGAGACAGAAGAAUAAGAGAACAAAUGGCAACUCUUCUUGGUGACUCCUGGACAGCGUAGAACAUCUCAGUGGUCCUUUAUGCUGCUUAGUUGGAUAACUCACUUUCUACACAUUUCUAUGUUGAUAACUCUUACAUUUAUAUUUUCAUCCUGACUGCUUACCAGAGUUUUAGUCCCAUUGUGGGACUUUGUAAAGCCCAUUGGUAUUCGUAUGUCCCAGUGUCACAUGGAGCUCAACAGACGUAGAAUUAAACUCAGUUUGGUUCCCAGUGUCUCCUGUUUGUGGUGUUUACUUCCCUCCAAAUCAAAGGCUUUGCCCAUGUCUUUCCCAGAUCUGGGUGCCUCUCUUUCUGCUGGGCUCAGGUCUCCUGUUAUUAACAGUUUCACCAUUGUCGAAGUUCUCCAGGUUCAAAGCCCUGAAGGCGUUUCUAACAGAUUGCUCUCCUUCAUGCUUCGUAAUGAGUAAGUUCUUGAAAUUUUUCCUUUAGACUGAGAGCUGUUGAUGUUAUUUCCUUUCUAUCUCAUAGUCAUCAGACAACCGCAGACACUUGUCAAGUCUUGCCUGAACUAAUGCAGCAGCUUUCUAGCAGCGUUCCUGGCCACCUCUUCCCUUUCUCAAAUUCUGCUGCUAAACGAAUACUUAUAAGACAUCUACUCCCCUGCUGAGAAGCCUGUGAAGGCUCCUGAUCUCCCAACAUUGUGCCUAAGCUCUGCUGGCUGUGUCUCCCUCGUCUUUACCAUGACUCCAGCGUCUCCUUGCUCCUUAGUCUAGCCUGUCUUUGCAUUCUCCUUGAUUGUACUUCUCAACUUCCCACUGUGGCCCUUUCUCUCCUAUUCACCUCCCCAAAUCCUAACCACUUUUCAGCCUCUUCCCUGCAAGAUUCUUUUGCUUGUUUUCAUCCACUUCGAAUUCCCUUUCCUUUGAACUCCUAAAUCACGUCUUAUCUUUAGAUUGGAUGAUCAUCUUGGCAGCUUUGGUAGAACAGAAAGAACUUUGGAUUGGAGUCAGAUAAACUUGGCUCCUGAACAGGUCUCAAUAAUGCACUCUAGACCUGGAGCCAGUCAUUUUUACCUCUCUGAGUCUUGCUUUUUUUAAAUAAAAUGGAGAUAUUAAUACAUGAGAUGGACAGUGACAACAAAUGUGAAAGUACUGGCAUGCAAUCAGAUCUUCGAUGUUAGUUGAAUUUGAUUCUUUAAAAUUAUUUUUAAACACUUUAUAUCUGUUUGUCUGUCUUCUUCGUUUGGCUCCUGGAGAGCAAGUACUGUGUUUUACAUCCCUUUCUCCCACAAAAGACCUGGGCAUUGUUAUGUAAAAAUUUGCUGCCAAA
rnacentral:lncRNA from 1 species